rnacentral:rRNA from 1 species
AUGGCCGGUGGUAAAGGAGUGCAGCAACGCACCACCUCGGGUGGUUCCCAGUCGCCGGCUCCGGAGGAGCGGCGAGGGCGCAGCCGCUCCAGGCGCGGCCAUCGCGGUGAGGUCGUGGUUAGGGAGAUCGUGCGCGAGACCGCGGUCAGUGGUAGCGUACCCAUCACCUUCCCGAUGCUCACGCGCUCGAACUACAGCGAGUGGGCGUUGAUCAUGGAGUGCAACCUCCAUGCGGCGAGCCUCUGGGCUCCCAUGGAGGACGACUUGGUCGAGAGAAAGGAGGACAGGAAAGCCGUGGCGGCACUCAUGCGCGCCACGCCGCCGGAGAUGCACGGCAUGCUCGCGGCGAAGGCAAGCGCCAAGGAGGCGUGGGAAGCCAUCCGUACACAGCGCCUCGGCAGCAACCGUGUGCGCGAAGCGAACGCACAGAAGCUGCGAGCGGACUUCGAGAACAUCGCCUUCAACGAGGGCGAGCUCGUCGACGACUUUGCCAUGCGGAUCUCCAGCGUUGCGUCACAACUCCGCGCGCUCGGCGACACCAUGGACGACGCGAGAGUCGUGCGAAAUUUCUCCGCGUCGUACCAUCUCGCUUCGCUCAGGUAG